rnacentral:rRNA from 1 species
AGUGAACGCUGGCGGUAGGCCUAACACAUGCAAGUCGAACGGCAGCACAGUAAGAGCUUGCUCUUACGGGUGGCGAGUGGCGGACGGGUGAGGAAUACAUCGGAAUCUACUUUUUCGUGGGGGAUAACGUAGGGAAACUUACGCUAAUACCGCAUACGACCUACGGGUGAAAGCAGGGGAUCUUCGGACCUUGCGCGUUUGAAUGAGCCGGCGUCGGAUUAGCUAGUUGGCGGGGUAAAGGCCCACCAAGGCGACGAACCGUAGCUGGUCCGCGAGGGUGAUCCGCCACACCUGAACCGAGACACGGUCCCGACCCCUACGGGAGGCAGCCGUGGGGAAUAUUGGGCAAUGGGCGAAAGCCUGAUCCAGCCACACCGCGUGAGUGAAGAAGGCCUUCGGGUUGUAAAGCCCUUUUGUUGGGAAAGAAAAGCAGCAGGUUAAUACCCCGCUGUUCUGACGGUACCCAAAGAAUAAGCACCGGCUAACUUCGUG